CACAAGCGGUGGAGUAUGUGGUUUAAUUUCGAUGCAACGCGAAGAACCUUACCUAGGUUUGACAUCCGGAAAACCUUACCCGAAAGGAAGGGUGCCCUUCGGGAAGUUCCGAGACAGGUGCUGCAUGGCUGUCGUCAGCUCGUGCCGUGAGGUGUUGGGUUAAGUCCCGCAACGAGCGCAACCCUAUUGCCAGUUGCUACCAGGUAAUGCUGGGCACUCUGGUGAGACUGCCCGGUUAACGGGGAGGAAGGUGGGGACGACGUCAAGUCAUCAUGGCCCUUACGCCUAGGGCUACACACGUACUACAAUGGCGCAUACAAAGGGCAGCGAUACCGCGAGGUGGAGCCAAUCCCAAAAAGUAGCGUCCCAGUCCGGAUUGCAGUCUGCAACUCGACUGCAUGAAGUUGGAAUCGCUAGUAAUUCGAGAUCAGCAUGCUCGGGUGAAUGCGUUCCCGGGCCUU
rnacentral:rRNA from 1 species